GGGCCGGUAGCUCAGCUGGGAGAGCGCAGCGUUCGCAACGCUGAGGUCAGGGGUUCGAUCCCCCUUCGGUCCACCA
rnacentral:tRNA from 1 species